rnacentral:lncRNA from 1 species
UCAGUUGCAUAGUAAGCAUUUAAGGGAGAAAAAAAAUGGAAUGAAACUAUUUUAACAAUUGUGCCCACAAUGGCUGUGUGUAAGAUAAAAAUCUAUUGCUUUGAUGUAGCUGAAUGUAUUUAUAUGUCUGCAGUUUUGAUGAUUGUAUAUUAUGUAAUGGGUUAUGUAUGAUAAUCAUAUAUGAUAUGUUCACAAACCAACAACAAAAGGAACAAUUUUUACUGUUUUUUUGUUUUUUUUUAAUCACUGCACUUAUAAGCAUUGAAAUUCUAUAGAGUGUGCACAAGCAGGUUUCUGUGCUUUUUAAAUAUACAUUUGUAAAUGGGGGAAAGCCCUUUUGUCACUGCCUGAGAAAAACACUAAACUUAGAGAGACAGGAAAAGCCGUAUUUUUUUUAUAAUAGUAGUGUGAUGGGGAAAAAAUAUAGUCACUAAAUACUUUUUCAUAUAAAAAUGCUUGUGAGCAAAAUUUAAAAAUUGAUACAUGAUCAAAAUAUUUUUUAGAUUGCAUUAGGAGAUAUUCAGCUAAUCAGUCAGGAAUAAGGCCGUGCCUAACAAAUGGAAGAAUAAUUCAAAAGUCCUUCUCCCCAAUCUACACUAAGUACAAUUUUAUAUAAACAGUAUAUAUAAUAUAUUAUAUAUUUAUAAUGUAUAAUUUUUAUGUAUUUUUCAAAACAACAAACUGGAAUCCAACUCUGAAAUUUUAAAAGCCUAAAUUAAGAUAUGUAAAUUACAUUUGAAUGGGGCUUUUCCUUUUAUCCCACAUGCAACCAGUAUUAAAAAUAAAUAGAUAAAAGCAGUGCUUUGGGUAUUAAAAUUAUGUUUGAAAAUAAAUCCAUCUUGGCAUAUACAUGAUAUCAAAGGCUGAGAAAACAUUUUCUUCAAUGAUUUUAGGCUGCUUUGUGAACUAUAGUAAUACUAUUUAAUAUUACAGUAUAUGUUUGGAUGUUUUUCAAGUAACUGCAAAUCAUUUCAUGGCCAGCAGAUGGCAAUUUACUUCAGUGUUUUCAGAAAUUUUUCAUUGAUAAGAGAAAGUGUAUUAUAUUAAAAAAAUGUUUUUCUAAAACAUGCUAGUCUUAAUUUUAAUGAAAAUGAUGACUUUUUUCAGUAAUGUUUUCUUUAAGUUCUAUGUGCCAUAUUUGAAUAAAGAGCUAAGCA